rnacentral:rRNA from 1 species
AUGAAAUCGGUCCUGGAUCGUCAUGGCGUUGAGGUCGAUGCCAACUUGGUUAAUUCUGAAGAGGAAAAUGUAAUUGGCGAUCCUGAAGAGGAUAAUGUAACUGGCGAUCCUGAAGAGGAUAAUGUAACUGGCGGUCCUGAAGAGAUGCUGUCAAAGACCGAGGUAGAAAAAUUGCUGGCUGAUGCAGAUCGCUAUGAAGAUAAGCUCGAUAAGCGGACUUGCUUGGACAUGUACCAAACAAUUGUGUGGGGCUAUGGAAUUAGGCUUCAGGCACUAGAACAGUUGGGUUCCAUGGUCAAGGAGGCAAAAAAAGGUUUGAAGCUGCACCAGGGGCCCAUGGUCAAGGAGGCAGAACAAGAAUUGAAGCUGCAACCUGAGGGGGUACAUGGUCAAGUAGGCAAAAGAAAAUUUGAAGCUGCACCAGGGGUGUUGGAUGCAGCAGAUGGAUUGAGACAGAAAACAAAAAUUUAG